CCCAGUAAAAAAAAAAGGUAGUGCUGUUACAGAGACAGCGAUUUAGCUUCAUUGCAAACCGUAGUGCUUCUAUAGGAAGUAAUUCCUAGCGCGUCUGCCUUGAAAGCUAAGUCAAACAAAGGAGAAACAGUAAAAUGUAUUAUAUUAUCAUGCAUCCUAUAUCCAUAUUGUUUUGCAAGUUGAUCCGCCACCUCAUUUUGUUUCUUGUAGUUGCGUUCAUUCAAAGGUUCUCUUAGUUGGUUCAGCAAUGACCUGCAACCAUGAACAAUGUCAGAACAAUGUAAGUUAUUGUCGCGGAGGAACAAUGUAAGAGAGAUACUUGGGAGCAUCGACUCUUUUAUGGAUGAUAGGGCAACAAAAACCUUUUGUUCAUUUGACUGUAUGUUUGCACUAACAUUAAUAGAGGAAGGUAUCAAAUAUUAUAAACUUCAGUACGAAGGUAGUGCUGGGUGCCACAUUUACAAUUUGAAAAAAAGCAAAGAAAAAGUGUUUCCUUGAUUCUUCCUACAAGGAUUCUAAAACUUAAAACUUCUAAACAGCAUUCGAACUAUUUGCAAGAUUUUCGUUACACCCAAAACAGAAAAAGAAAAUAUCAUUCAUCCAUCCCCCAAUUUAAUACGAACUUCUGCUUUGAAAGGUCAAUAGACCUAUGACUGUUCUCCAUACCUCCAUAAUUAUUUCAUUUUUCAUUUAGUGAACUUGAAUUAUGUUUGCUUUAAGUUUUUUAUGCCCAAGCCCCCUUCCAUUUCACUAGAUUAAAACACCUCUUAUCUCUAUCUCCUUGCCAUAUAAAGUUCCUUAUUAAAGCAUCAGUCUUCUUUUCAAUUUUUACUGGUAUAUUUGGCAGAUAGCUUGAUUAGUUAACAAUGUACUUGACUCAUUAACCAUCAAUAUUUCAUGUUGCAUCCAUUAUCUAUCUACCACAAAUAAAAGUGAUUUGAUGAGUGUCUUAUCAGUUUGUCCACCAUUUUUUUGAGUCUCUAGAUACCAGCUUAGAGUACCAGAAAUUAUGCCCUAAAGGACAUGUGUGGGAGCUGUCAUUAGCGUGAAAAUAGUCGUAGGAAUUGUUUCCCACAACAAUGAGUUUACACCAAGGAGAACGAAACGAGCCCCUACGUGUUUACCCUAGUCUAGACAAGUUAGCAAAUACAGUACAAGAUGAAGUCCCAUGAUGUAUGCUAUUUGCUAAUGAUUUGUGUUAAUUGACAAAUCUAGCAAGGGUGUCAACCAAAAGCUUGACUUAUGGAGAAAAACGUUAGAAAGUAAGGGUUUUGGGAUAAGUAGAAGUAACAGAAUGAAAUUACAAAUGAAGGUGUUACUCGUUAAAAUCAGAUGGUUGAAAUGAAGAAGUGCUAUCAAGUGAAAUGUGAUAGAAGGAUGCCUACCAAAUUGAAAGUUAAAAAGUAUAUAGAACAACUAUAAGACUUACAAUGUUAUAUGGUGGUUGAAUGUUGGGUCGCUAAAGAUACAAUCCAAGUUCACUUGAGAUGGUUUGAACAUGUUUUACAAAUGCACUAAUUCGUUGGUGUGAAACAAUAGUAAGUGAAAGUGUUGAAAAGAGAUGGGCAAAUCUAAAAUGACAUGGAAGAAAGUCUCGAAAGACCUAUAAAUGCAUGGUGUUAAUGCAGACUUAGCUAACAAUUAGGCAUAAUAGAAGAAAAAGAUCUAUAGAGGUGAUAAGCUACUAGUUGAGAAUAGAUUUUAGACUUGUUAGAUAAAUUCUAAUAUUAUUAUUAUUAUUAUCAUUAUAUAUCCAUAAACAGCCUCUUAGGGAACUUUCACAAAAAUAAAUUAUUGCAUGUACCCAACAUCCCAAAACAGGGGUAACCCAAUACUGUCCUCCAGUUGUACUGAAAGAAGUCUGAAAUAGCAAAUCACCCAAGAAAUUUGCUGCUCCAACCGUUUCGUGCAGCAAUCUUGAUUGCCAGCAUGUCCAUUCUUGUCUAAACAUAUUUGCUCUAUCAUCAUCUCAUGAAGCAUUUCUCAUUUAGUCAUUACCUACUGAUGGCUAACAACUUGCUAUUGUUGACGUGUCAUUGUUGUUGUUAGGAUUAUUUUAUCUAGUACCAUUCUACAACUAAACAAUUGUUUUUAACUUUAUGGGAGAAGAGAGAGGGCAAGAAAAGUUUGACCCAAGAAAUUGGAUGCCUCUUUGGUUUUUAUCAUAUUCAAUAAUCGGAUCCCAAUACUAACCUUAUUUACCCCAACCACCUACUGCUAGUUCCUUAACUCGCAGCAAGCGUUAUGCAUCUUUUCUCUAGUAUGCAUUUAUGUUAUACUAGUCAUGUUUAAGAAAUUCUCUUCUUUAUCUGUUUUUUUUUUUUUUUGAGUGAGGUGGGUAGGUUGAAGGUAUUCCAAGGAGUCUUAUUUUGAAAACUAAGACGGGUCAACAGAAUGGAGUUUGGAUAAACAAUACGAUUUAGUAAGGGAAAACUUGAACAUUGGACCAUAAUGCAUGGCUACAUGCAUUUGGGUUUUCAUCCUGAAAUAUCCCCUUGUUAUUCUUUGUCUGAAGUCAGGUUGUAUGUUUCAACAUUCAAUAACUAGUAUAGAAUUGAGAAGCAACAUAGACAAUGCCUACAGAAAUAACGUGUGAUGAAGAUAACACACUUAGAUAUAUUCAUUAGAGCAUGUUCACCAUAUCUCUCUUGUUUUGCUUUAAUAUUAAGCAUGAAGGCAACAGCCACAACUAAUGAGUAUUUCAUACCUUGAUGAUUGGUACAUGAAAGUAGAGUAAAAGGAGCAAAACAGACUUCAGUGACAUACCUUAAAGACAGUACCAUUCACUUUGUAAAGGUUUUGUGCGCUAUCACUCCCAAGUCCAUUCAACUGACAAACACAGAAAAAGGAAUCAAAUACCAGAAUUGCAGCCAUCAGAUUAAUAAGAGGCUGCAAAAGAUAUUACCUGCGUUGUUCAAUUUAUGUCCUUUCUUAUAAGUAGAUAAUAAAGACACUUCUGAAUAUAUUUACUUUGACAGCAUGAAGUCGGUGAUUGAAAGAUACAACAAAACAAAGGAGGAGAAUCAUCAAUUGGCAACUCCAACUUCUGAGGUUAGGGUAAGUUUCACUGGUUAAUUUGCAGUCAACUAAUCAAAGAAAAAUAUGCAUAGCUAAGCUUUCUAUCAUAACCACUUCAUGUCGUUGGACAUAAUCUAGGCAAUAUCAAGGGACUUGUUGAGUAAUUGAGGCAUAGAAUUAACAACCUAAAAUCUCAGGUUCAAGGCCUUCUAUAACACAUAAUAUACACAUAUCUACUCAACCAUGGUGAGCUGAUUUCUGGACAUCUGUAAGGUAGGCUGCAGCAAGCUUUUUGGUGAGAUAGUCAAGGUGCGAGCAAAUUGAUCCAGACACCACUAUAAUAAGUAAAAAUUCUGUUCAAAGUUAACAGAAUAAUUAAAUGGUAGAGAAUAUUUUUAGUGAUUAUAUUAUAGAUGAAAGUUAAGAGGAUCAUUAAGAAUUAUAUGGAAAAUAUUCUUAGUGAUUAUAUGAUAAAUAUAGGAAACCAUAGAAACAAAAAGACUUCCCUCAUACAAGCAGCCCUCUUGAUAUUACCAACCAGUGCCAACAAGAAUAUCUUUUCAUCUUCUUCUCCUACUUAUUGGGCGUAUUAGGCUUCUAGGAAAUUUGUAGAAACCUAAGUGAAUAUAUAUUUGGAGAUUUUAUUACUCAUCUCUUUCUGAUUGAUCAUUCUAGGAAGUACCAUUCUUACUUCCAGCGAUCAUUUAGGCAGCACUAUGCUUUUUCAGGAGCCAUAACUCUUUCCAGAGAACAUUUGAGGCACCACACUGAUGUAUUUCAGGCAACCAUCUAUUCCUAGAGAUUUGUGUCACCAUAUCACUUCUCCCUAAAUUAGAAAAAAACAUUUCCCUAUGGGCUGUAAGGACACUUCUUUGGCUACAUCGACAACAGUCUGUGAGAAAGAAUAAGACCUUUUACGGCGAAUGUCACUAUUCCAGCAACUCAUUUCAGAUGACUGUCAAUUAUUCUGGUGAGUUCUAAUACAGUGCAAGGUGGCAUGUAAUCCUAACAUUGUUUUUGAUAAGUAGAAUUUAUUCAUAGAAACAGCAACAAUCAAGUAUUAAACCUGUAACAGAAGUUUGACUCAACUCCUAUCCAAGAUACAAGGAGUCUAUAUGAAGUCCAAAAGUGUUAUCAAGAUAAUUUUUACUGAGAAUUAUUCUAAAGGUUUAUACUAUAGUCUAGAGAACUAUUAAUUACUAUGUCAAAAUUGAAAUCCUCAAUGAGUAUGGUUCCUUAGUCCAUAGAAACUCCUAAGAGUCUAGUGUUUUCCUAACAAUAAAAGCUUAGUUAGGGUUCCUUACAUGAAUUAUGGUGUACUUCUGUGUAUACGACUUUGUGAAAAGGAUUUAAAAGAUAUUAGCACCUAUGAUGAAGGGAAAUAGAAUUUCGGAAACAGCCGUUCUACCUCUGGGCUCGGAGGUAGAGGUCAGGGCUGUGUUCACUCUACCCUCCCCAGAUCCCACUCCGUGGGACUAUAUUGGGUAUGCUGUUGAUGUUGUUGGAAUGUCAGUCAUAGGGUGGAGAAUCUUAUAAUAAGAGGGCUAGUGACUAGUCAAGUCAAAAACCUAGUUUGAUCUACAUGACUGGUUAUAUGGGUAGCCGAAUGGUAAUAAAAUAUUAACUAUAAAGGAAAACAACAAAAACGCUAGAAAGAGUCAAAAUGAAUAUUGAUAAUAUAUCUGUGAAUUUACACUAUUCCGAUUUAAUUAAUUCUAUUUAUACCAUGUGAGUCCUCCAGUUUUACCACUUCUAAGUUUCUAUGUGAUCUGGUUAGAUUGCAUGAGCCUGGUCCUAAGUUUGUAGUAUCCUACCACUCAGAUUGCUAUUUUGACAGUUUAGGAAAAGAAUAAAAUGCACAUUAAAGUACGUUGCUUUUGUUCUCACCAGAAAAGUGGAAAGAGAAAAAUGAAUUUUCAUCCCUUGAUAAAUCAGAUAACUUAUCCACCUUCACUUCCUUGGCUCAUUUGGUACAACGAUUCCUCAUUGCCCUGCCUUUCUGCCAUACUCAACACUUGUCUGUCCAAAUGGUCGGUCUAGCCAUAUGUUGGGUCAAAACUGAAAAUAGAAGAAGUGAGGGAAUGAUCUUAAAGGUUUCAUAUUAUCACCAACUCUACUGGAAAGGUCAAACUGUGUUUCCAAGGGAAAUAGAAUUAGGAGACGGAAGCAGGGUAACAGGGACAAAAGCGAAGAGACAAAACAGAAUCCUGCAAGAAGCAAAAGAUUCUUAUAGUUAACAGUUAGUUGUACAGCUGAAGAUGCUGGAAUGGAGGCUAAAGUUUGAAAACCAAUAUUUAAGAUGGAAGGAAGAUGCUUUAUGAGAAAAUAGAAACAUUCAUCCAAACUGGUGUCUUAUAAACCACGGGCAAUCCAAUACAUUGACAGAGAACAGGAGCUAAGUAUUCCAUUAUUACUGAUCUGGCAUGAAAUGCUAUCCAUUGAAAAUGUAACAAAACUUCACCUUUUCAAGAUUUAACUGGAGAGACGUCACAUAAGAAUAGAUCAGGGACUAUGGCUUUAAUUUGUCUAGCAAUCACAGCAUAGCUCAAGAUAGAACUGUCUUAUAGUUCACACUACACAAUUACUUUGAAGCAUUUUGUAUCAUAUCAAGCAAAAACAUCUUCAGCUAAACAAUUUUCAUAUAACCCCUACAGUCUGCAUAUUAACGCGAAAAAAGAUUCUACACAGACACAGCCUGAUUUCCUGCAAGAGCAAUUAAAGAAAGGGUUUUCAUGCUCUUGAGAGGGGUACAUGAUUGGAAAAACAAAACCACGUGCUACCUUUUUACUGACGAUCACCAUUAUCAACUUCAAGGAUUUAGUAGUCUGCCUAAUCCAGCUGUACUUGAAAAAUUGGCCAUCUUUUAAAUUACCUUUACAGUGUAAAGGUUCUAUUGUGGGAAAAGUUCUAGUAAGACAGGGACUUCAAAGGCUGCUUAUCCUCCAGCCCCCUUCUAACUAGUGUCAAAAUCUUAAAACAAAAUCUUCUGAAUCUUAAUCAUUUGAGCCAUGCCAAUUCAACAAGGAGAUUCAAUUUGUGGUAGAGGUAGUAAUGAUUUCUUUCCGGUGAAGCCCAUUUCUUGAAAAUCGUCUGCUAGGGCACACUAUCUGUUGUCAAAUAUCUACCAAGAUGACAGCUGGUGUUAACCUACACCUUGAUCAUUCCUAUGUUCACAUAUAAGUUCAGGUACAGCAAGGAGCUUUUGGAUAUGGUAUUGGAAGAUAAUUCCUGGUAGAUUGAUCAUGGAAGCAGCACUUGACCCCUUUUAAUAAUAAGACUGGAUAGACCACCCUAAUUUAAGACAUAACUAAGAAUUCUGCUCGGGGGUUAAUACUGCCAUCAUGACAUAUUGCACUCAUUUUCAUAGCACACUCUUCCAAUGGUACACAAAUCCAGGAACAGAAAAUCUCGUCUAGAGCUGCUUUACGAUCUUCAAGUGGGGUAACUAUGACGCAGCUGUAAUUUUAUUUUUUUUGUACAACUGUAAUUAAUCAUUUACAGAACAUCAAAUUUAAUUACUCCUUACUGUACCAGACAUCAUAGUUUAUGACCAUCAACUUCAAGGCCUCCAAAACAACAAUAGCUUAUAAUUUUAUCCCUGAUAGCAUAUUGUCGAACAAAAUUGUUAAUGGUAGGAAGCAACAAAUAUAAAAACGACGCCUUGUGGCAAUCUCAAGGAAGUAACUCUAAAUUGAAGUUACACAAUCUUAAGGGUACAUAUGGAUCUAAUUCCCAGACCACAAGGAGGGGGACGGCUCAAUUUAAAUCUAAGUAGCACCCAUUACAUCUAGGCUUGGUUUCCUAUUGAUUUCACAGCUAGUUUUAUCAAGCAUGCAGAAAUAUCCAUUAGUUUCUCCUAUGAUAAUCCAAAACCAUGUAUUAAAAUAUAAUUUCCUGUUAGCAGUUUUGGCAAAGGGAAGCGGCAAUGCUGAGGCAACAACUACAGAACUUGCAAGAGAAUCACCGGUAAACUCUCUUGUCAUAUGUUAGAUAUAUUUCUUACUUCCACAAAUAACUUAUUCAAUGAUCUAUAGCACAAACACAGGGACUCUUGUCUCCAUUGUAAGUUUUAAGACAUUAAAGUAAAAAUUACUCCCUUCAUUCACUUUUACUUGUCACAUUUGGAAUUAGCACACCCAAUAAGAAAACAAUAAUUGACAUGGCUAUUUUACCACACUACCCUAUUAAUUGAUGUUUAGUAUUAAGUGUUGAAAAAUGAUCUGGGAAUAUGUAAUCAAUGCUAAGGGGAAGACAUGGAAAAAAUUUAUUGUCUUUUCUUGAUAUGUUAAAGGUGAAGAGUAAAAGUAGGUUUGGGGGUUUCACAUGAAUCCCUAUUAAUUGAUGUUUAGUAUUAGGUCUUGGAAAUGGUGUUAUCCACUUUAAUGUUGAGGGACUAGGAAUUAGAGAUUUUAGAAUGUUCAUAAACUCUACCAGGAAAGUUGGUUUGGGGUUUCACAUGGAACUCAACCGUUGUGGGCAUCGACAAGUAUGCUAUUAAAUGGGAUAAUGAGGACCAAUCAUAUUGAGCAUCUCUUUAGAGGAUAUUGGGAAAAUGUGGAGAGAUCCUAUCUAAGUGAAAAUUUAUAUAUACUUUUUUGAAAACUACCCAUCAAAGCGACAAAUUUAAAAGGGGAGAGGGGUUUUGUUGUGUGUGUGUGUGGGAGGGGGGGAGGGGGGCUAGGCUAUUGAAACUAGAAUCAAUGUCUUGAAAUAGAGAGGGUAGAGUCGUUGAUUGUGUUAAGUUUUCUGAUCAUUUUUAAUACUUUCAACCAACAGAUAUUAACAGUUGUCGACAAUUUUUUUAUUUUCUGAAAUGGUAACAUAAUAAUUGUCCACAAUUAUAGAGAAUGGGGGAGAAUUUUAUAGGACCUAUUGCUUGGAUCACCAUACAUGCAAAGAAAAUACAGAAAUACUCCCAAUUCACAUUAUUUUGUAGUUAUUACUACUCGUUUCUGUAUUUUCUUUUUUCAAACUACUUGGAAAUGCUUUGUUUUAAGCGGAGGGUCUAUCGGAAACAGUCUCUCUAGCUCUAACGAGGUAGGAGUAAGGUCUGGUUACACUCUACCCUCCCUAGACCUCAAAUGUGGGAUUACAUUGGGCAUGUUGUUUUUGUUGUUCUUUCUUUAGGUAGGAAUUUUCCCAUAACAUUAGUAUACGUUGAUUUCAUCAACAAUGUUCCUAGGCAAAAUAAAAUAUCUCCUCCAUUGCACUACUUAAAAUAUUUAACUAUUGUGAUCUUUUGGAUCGAUGGUGUUAUUUCUUUUUAUUUUUUGGGGGUUGGGGGGAAUAAAGGUAAUAUUUGAGGGUUUUACUUUUCUGUCUUUAAAUGGAUGGAGUGAGGAAAUAGAGAAAUGUGUAUUAAUUGACACUAAUUCCCGUGAUAGCUAUUUUGUUCAUAAUCCUGAGCUUUCUUUUGACACUACAGAAGUUCCGUUAAAACAUGUCCUGUUUUUCUUCGUUUCACUCGCUUUUUGACAGAACAUUUUGUUAACGAACUUAACUCUCCUUUCUCUGCUUCUCCCUUCCUGUCCCUCAAAACCCUUGAAGAACAAAAAAAAUUGAAUGUACCUCCUCUUCUCUCCUCUCAUUUCUAUCUGUCUUUCAAUUCUAUAGCUCUAUCAGAACCCAACACCCACACCCCAGUUUUCUUUUUCUAUGUUCAGUGGGCAGUAGAAAGAGAGAAAAGGAUAGUUCUAGUAGUGAUACAAAAGGUGUCUCAUCAAGGAUGCCGUUUGGAAUGUUCCUUCAAUAUCUUCAACAGUAUAGGCAUCCUAAGCCAACCACAAGAAAAUGCAUGAAACUAAGAACUAAACUAUCACCACCUUGCUGGAAAAAAGCAAGUGACACUAGAUAGCUUGUAACAUCAGUUCACAAAAUAGAAUAUGACAGAGAUAUCUGCUCUAGGUUAUCCUUAAAAAGAUUAUAUCUGUAAGUGCUGACAGAAAGGAUACUCAGAUUAUUUCAAGCUACUGGUUUUACAAUCAAAAGGAAGAGGCACUCAGGACCAUGGUUGUAACCCUUCAGAUCAGGGUUUUGAAGGAUCAAACAACAUUCGGUCUCUCUUAUGAAUUAAAGUAUUAGCAUGGACUUCUAGGGUGUGUCUGGUAUGGAGGAAAACAUUUUCUAGUAGAAGUGGCUUCUUGUUUAUUUUCUUGUGUUCGGUAUGCAAGUAAAAAUUUAUAAUCCUAAAAGUAUUUCUAUAUAUAUCUAAGACAAAACUAUGACUCUAUGAGGGUGGGGGUGGAGGAAUUCAGGGGUGGGCUGGGUGGUUGUGAGGAGACAAUGUGAUUUGUUUUACCUACUUUCAUUAGGAAAGUUAUUUUCCAUAUUAUUUUUAUUAUGACAAGGGAAAGCCGCAGUCGUUACCCUUUGGGCGCGCACAGGGUAAAACCCCCGCUCCUAUGCAAUAGCUCGCAAACCACAUAGGAGAGGUAACCCGCACUAGGCAAGCCCGGUGCGAUGAGCUCGAUCUAGAAGGCAAACCCCUUGCUUUCGCUGGCAAGGGGUUUCGAACUUGAGACCUCCAACAUGGAAGUCCUAAGCCCAAACCACUGGCCAACCCCAAAGGGUCAUUUUCCAUAUUUUCAAGGAGAUUGUUUUCCUAAAGAAAAUAUUUCUCAAAAUUUUUGGUCAACUGAACUGCAGUGAAUCAUGCAAUUCACUGGAGGAUUCUGUAAAGAUGUCUUCACUAUAUAAUCCCAGCAAGCAACUCAAUGUUGGGGAGUGAAAAUUCAAUAAUAAGCACACCUCAAAUGGUGUUAUAGAUUUCUUCCAGAGCUCCAUCAAACUGUUUAACAUCAACCCCCACCCACACCCANNNNNNNNNNNNNNNNNNNNNNNNNNNNNNNNNNNNNNNNNNNNNNNNNNNNNNNNNNNNNNNNNNNNNNNNNNNNNNNNNNNNNNNNNNNNNNNNNNNNNNNNNNNNNNNNNNNNNNNNNNNNNNNNNNNNNNNNNNNNNNNNNNNNNNNNNNNNNNNNNNNNNNNNNNNNNNNNNNNNNNNNNNNNNNNNNNNNNNNNNNNNNNNNNNNNNNNNNNNNNNNNNNNNNNNNNNNNNNNNNNNNNNNNNNNNNNNNNNNNNNNNNNNNNNNNNNNNNNNNNNNNNNNNNNNNNNNNNNNNNNNNNNNNNNNNNNNNNNNNNNNNNNNNNNNNNNNNNNNNNNNNNNNNNNNNNNNNNNNNNNNNNNNNNNNNNNNNNNNNNNNNNNNNNNNNNNNNNNNNNNNNNNNNNNNNNNNNNNNNNNNNNNNNNNNNNNNNNNNNNNNNNNNNNNNNNNNNNNNNNNNNNNNNNNNNNNNNNNNNNNNNNNNNNNNNNNNNNNCACCCCCCCCCCCCCCCCCCCCCCAAGAAACGAGAAGUCACAGUUGUUUAAAACAGGAUGUAUAAGUCACAUACAGUCAACUGUCAAUUUCUCUGUUGGAAUCACAUGUUUCUUAACAGUUUAUUUCUGCAAUAUAGACAAAUGAUGGGUGAAGAGCUUUCUGGUCUGAGCGUCAAAGAUUUGCAGAACUUGGAGAACCAACUGGAAACGAGUCUCCAUGGUGUUCGUGUAAGAAAGGUAUGAAAUUUCCAGAUCCAACAAAUGUUCACUAUAUUAAUUAAAUAAAAACUAACUCUACCCCCACAUGUCUACAGGACGAAAUUCUGAUUGAUGAGAUACAAGAACUAAACCGAAAGGUCAAUCAACAUAAAAUGCAGAGACUCUUAUCAAUUUAUUCUAAUCUAAAAAGUAUAACUUCUCAAGAUACUAAAUUAAUAUUUUUCCUUGCAGGGAAACCUCAUUCAUCAGGAAAACAUGGACCUAUAUAAGAAGGUAAACCUAAUUCGUCAAGAAAAUAUGAAAUUGUGUAAGAAGGUAUCAAUGUACAUCACUAAAAGCUUUCACAUGCUUCAAGAUCAAUUAUUUCCUUUUGUUUUCUUAUACCAAGUGAAAGAGUCAACCAUUCUUCUUAGAACUCUGGCAAAUUGUUUCUACAUUGUGUUAAACUACAGGUUUAUGGAAAUAGAGAUGCAAAUGGAGUGAGCAGAAGUCCCCUUGUUGCGAACAGUUUAAGCAUCAAUGAGGACCUUCAUGCUCCUGUUCAUCUCCAGCUUAGCCAGCCACAGCAACAGAACUAUGAGGCAUCGGGAACUACCGAAUUGGGGUAAUUUCUUGCUCAUAUGCUUCAUCUGGAAGCACAAUGGUAAUUCACUAACCUGAUCAUUGACUAUCGUCUUACUGGAAAAUGCUGCAGGCUACAACUGCAUUCGCAGUGAAAACCAGCCUCGUAAGAGUUUUCUGUUCUCAUGUUGAAGAAGCAGCUGUGCUUACAGAGCUAUGUUUUAACUUUUAAUGGUAGUAAUGAUAUAGAACCCAGAGAUGUCAGGAAAAAAUCUUCAGUUCACAAGGUUUAUGACAUCAAGUUUGACAAGUGUGAGGUAAUCCUUAGCACAACUACUUAAAGUAAGAUAACAACAAAUAAAGGAAUACAUUGGCACAGUAUCUCUACAUAUCUUUAUCUUUCUUCGCACUUCAUGCUUAUGAUGUGUAUGCCCUGUAUACUAGGAUUGUACUUGAUGACGUUUUCAAAUAGCUAUAAAUAGUUGACUACUUAAAACAGGGGUGGGAGCAAAGAAAUGCAAUCAGAAAAAGGAUAUACAUAACAGUAACUCCUCAAAGAAAUUCCUUGAGAAACACACCACAAGCAAACAGUACAAAGCAGAGCUAAGAAACUUAAUAAAGUAAGCCAUACCGCAUUGUUGCAUCAAUAUGCUUUGCGUGCAAUAGUCUUUAGCAAGGGACAGAUUAAAUUCAUUUCACACCAGUGUCGAACUUCAAAUUCAAGUGCUAAACAAAAAAGAUACAACAAGCAUUUGUAUUAGUAAUGCUCUUCCCAGAAAUUUUAGAAUGGAUGAUCAAAUAAUAUAUGAAGCAACAACAACAACAAUAUACCUAGUGCAAUCCCACAGGUGAGGUCCGGGUCGGUAGACUGUACGCAGACGUUAUCUCUAUCUCAUGGAGGUAGAGAGGCUGUUUCCAAAAGACACUCGCGCUCAAGUAACAGAUAAUAUAUGGAGCAUGCUCCACAAACAGUCUUUUCUGCCGAAGACAGUAAGUACUUCUUAAACAAGCUAUUUCUGGAUCACAAGGAUUCCAAUGGUAAACCUACACGAAUGCAUGCACUAUCAACAACCAAAUUUUCUAUACUACAGAAGACAGACUCUCAUCAAAUGACCUAUUUGUACAGCAAUGGAUUGCAUACUAAAUUAACAUGGAAGAAACAUGUUUAGGUCAUGAUGUGUGUGAGCAUAAAGUCCAUCGUAGGCAAAACUUCGUAUUACUUUGGAGAGUACACAUAAACAGAACAUGUCAUCUAAAAGGAGUAAAGUCUUCACCACGAAGGAUUAUUCAUCUUCUAUCAGGAGAUAGUUUACAAGAACGUAAAUGAAGGAAUAACUGUUACCAUUGACAAAAAAAGUGAAUGAAGGGCUAUUAGGUAGUGAAUAGGACUAGGACAUUAAUAAGGCAUAAACUCCAUGGAAGUUAUCAAACUUUAGUGCGUCAGGUACUAUGUAUUGACAAGGUAAAUGGAAUUUAUAAAACUAGAAAUUUGAAUCUAAUUGAACAGCAAAACUGCAAGCAUGCUAUGUUAUACUACAAAAGAAUAUGAUACCAUUAAUUUAGGAAUUCUGGAAAACUGUAAAAGAGAAGAUUUGUUUUAGAUUUUAGUGGAAUAAUCAGAGCACGAUAGAGCAUCUUCUACAAUGCCAAUACUUAAACCGAUUGGAACAUUUAUUACAACCAAUGCUCAAUAACAGCAGCAGCAGCCAUUUCAAACAGUGAGAAUACAAGACAUAAUUUAACAAUGUCCUUUGUGUCAAGAUUCUCAGUUCAAGACAAAUAGACACAAAAGAGGGGGAGAUUAGGUUCCAUUUUGACUAGCACCUGGAUAACAAUGAAGAUGAUUCUCACAUCUCCAUGUGGUGCAGUAAGGUUCUUAAAGUUGCAUGAACGAACAAAUUCUGAGGAAACUGGCCUGACUCAAGAGAAAAAAUGGAUCAUCUAGAGUUACUGCAGUAGUAUGUCUGCUAAAUAACAAUUUUCAUCAACGUAGUAAAAAGAUCAAAAAAUUUCCAAACAAGUUGGACAAGGAUAGCGUCUUCCACACAGCAAAGAUCUAUAACACCACAUUUGAGUGAGAUGACAUGGUACUCUCUCAAACACCAAAUUGUCUUUUAGCAACAUAAUAUGUCCAAUCCAAGUAAAUAAAACUACAGAAAGGUAAAUAUGCUAGUCGGCACUGUUACAACCACAGCAUUAAUAAGUUACCCUAUUGAUGGGACAGGCCUGGAAAUAGUGUUACUUAAUUUAUCUCUAAACAUCAUUUGUACUGCCUAAAGUUCCAGUUUGAGGUGUCCUUGCAAUAUAGUAUGAGGUGAUUCCAAGCUUUCUUUCCCCAUUUUUUUAAAAUUUCACAAACUCUUUUUAACUUUAUAAACGGUUUAACCUUCUACAACCAUUCCAAAAAUGUGACAUUGCUUUAAGGUAGGUGAACCAUAAACCUUUACAUGCCUACAAUACCCAAAAUCUCGAUGACUCUUGGGUGUCCCAGAUCACACACCUCUUUAUUCAAGAGUUUAUGGAAGUAUGUCUGCCAUCUACACCUAAUAAGAGUCCCAUCCACCAAUACCGUGUCAUCCUCAUCUUUGAUGCACUUCACUUGCUCCAAGUCACAAGUCUUCUCCUCUCUCACCUUGGUUGUCGUGUACAACUGCUUGUCCCAGCCUAUGUCCCCAAGUUCUUCAUACAGACGUCCAAAACCCCUGCAGUCUUUGCUGCCUUAACUGCUAAUUUCACCUCCUUCCUCACUUUCUUAUACUCCUCCUUGUUCAUCCUCUUCUCCUCAUUGUCUUUUCUUUCUACUAUCUUCACAUAUGCUGCUUUCUUGGCGUCCACUUUUCCUUGGACCUCUUCAUUCCACCACCAAUCCUCUUUUGUGUCCACUGGAGUAACCCUUCAAGAUCUCUAGCACCGCUCUAGCUGCUCCCUUAAUGUAAGUCACAGUCAUCGACCACAUGCUACUCGUGUCCCCACUGCUCCUCCAGGUCCCCAUUGCUAUCAACAUCUCCACAACUCCUAAGUAUUAUCCUAAGUCAACGCACCCCACUUGAUCUGCCUUGAUCUUUGGGUGACCAUACACGACACUUUUCUCCUCUUCCUCGUUAUUACGAUGUCUAUCAUAACCAUCUUAUUUUGCUUAUAAGUCAUAUUCACAGUUAAGUCAUGUGAAUCUAUUGUAUAAACAAUAUGGUAACAAGUCAACUUUAUUGCAUUAACAAGACUAACUAUAACUGAAUUAUAUCAGUAACAGAAGUAUCAAAUUUGUUUCUUUUAUCCCUCUGAACCUAAAACUUCCUCUGACACAUUAACAAAAGGGUCCUCUAAACCUAAUACUUACUCUGUCACAUUUACCUAAGGGGAUACUAUUACUUUUUGGGGAGUCAGAGGUUUUUCUUUUACGACAAGCUUUUAUAAAAAAUUACUAAAUAUUUUGAUCUAUUAAUUUUUGUGACCAACCGCACUUGUUUCACAAUUUUCACUAUGUAAAAUUUAUGUCAAAUUCUUGAUGAAUCUAUGUCUAAAUCCACACUGAAAAUUAGGUAUUUUGACCCUCAUACUAUAAAGCAGAGGAAGUGUUAUACAAUAUAUAAGAUCACUUGGAACUUCUAUGAUGCACUUUACAAGGAUGUGAUUAAAUGAAUGCACUAAAGCUUUCCAUCACAUCCAGAACUAUCUGUGGAAUGGAAACUGGACUAGCUCAACUAGGACCAACUGAUCCGUCAUUUACCAAAACGCUAACAUAGCUCACUAGCCACCAAAUCUAUGAGGUAGAAAUCCAUCUCAAAAUGAGACUAGGUUUAACACAACAAAAACAAAGUAUUAUUGAAAUCUUGAAACUCACCAGUUGCAUAAACAACUGAAUUUUCUAUUUGCCAACCAUUAUCUAAUUUUAUAAAAACAAGAGUCUCAAUAACUUAUGGUUUAUGGUUUUUAAAGAUGAGGAAUAUUUAUAUGUUCCAAUAAUUAAUAUUUUACAGGUUACUUUAAGUUAUGUCUUACGUUAUUAUUAAUCUACAACCAUUUCAUUUGACCAACAGCCAAAUCAAAUUUCAAGUAAGACUUUAUAUUUUUUUGACUUUAAUGAGAAAAAUUGUUCUUUUCUUAAUGUUUCAAAUUAUUACUAAUUAUUUUCAAUAAUAUCUCAAGCAACAAAUUAUAAGAACAUUCUGCCCUAACCUUCACAAAAGUAAACCUAGGUCAGUAACCAAAAUAGGAGGCAACAUAAGAAAGUAUUUUGGUAGAAGCAGUUACUGUAAUGUGAUAACUUUCAAGCGAAAGGUUGCUAGUGAGCUAAAGACAAAUACAGCAAAUAUAGAAUGAUCACUUAAACUUUAAAAUUCAUCAAGCUGAGAGAUAUAAGCUUCAUGAUUAAUCCUUCUUGUUCCAAAAAUAAAGCUUUGAGGAGUUAUCCAUGUGUGUACAGUGUCAUAUCAGUCCAUACACUAACAAGUAUUUUGAAAUUACAGGUGAACAACAGUUUGAACCUGUGCGUGGUAGAUUCAUAAAUCACUGUCUUAAUCCAUAUGGCUACAUCCACUCCCUCACCUUCUUAAGUUCCACUUUUACAGAUUUAAAUUGGAAACAAAAUAUUCAAGUCAAAUAUCUAUCAUCUUUCUUAUUUCAAUGAUGUUCUUAUUCAAAAUUAUGAUUAAAAUAUAAAGUAAAAAUAACCAAAAAAAGAAAAUAUAGCAGCAAGAAGAGGUAAAAUCAAAAUACAUUACUCAUAAGCUAAUCUUUUCUCCUUUUCAGAAAAACAAAUGCGCCCACUCAGGCUUUGGGGAGGGUAGAAUGUACGCAGACCUAACAACUAUCUCGUGGAGGUAGAGAGGUAAUUUCCGAAAGACUCACAGCUCAAGUGCAACAAAUCUAGGUACAAAUAAGACACAGACAAUGACAACAAAAAUAGUACGACAGUUGAAAUAUCAAAACAAGAACUACAAUAAUACUAGUAUAAGAAUACUAGUUGGUAAAAUAUCUUUUCUUUCCUAAGCAAUAUAUAAGAUCCAAUACAGUGUACAACGAUCAUCCUUCAAUCCUACAACUCUUUAUUCUAUCCCUCAAUAUGGACAAUUCCCUAAACUUUAAUCUUAAAAGCAUAUGCCUAAACUAAAGGAAUCAUUUACGCAAGAUGAAUUUUCAUUUCUCUCGAAAAAAAUCCUCAAUUUAUGUUAGUACAAUGCUGAAAUACAAAAGAAGUAGAUUAGGUAGCCAAUCCAUUUCACGCAGUAAAUUGCUUGUAAUAUGAUCACUAAACAAUUUUAGAGGGACAAAGCUAGUUAACAAUAAUAUAUUCCAGAGAAAUGUGUAACAGUUAACAUGAUGUUACAAGAUUUCAAUUAGGUCGCCAAGUGGUAUUUCAGUUCAACUUCUACUGUAGGCCAUUAAACUGGUAAAUCAAUCAUUUUCUUGCUGAUAAUGUGAUAGCUAUCUGUAUUUUACAUGAUGUUGUAUAGAUCACUUAAGAUCAAAAAUACAAAAUGAUAACAAAAGUAACAGGAGGUAAUCAUAACACAGUUCGCGGGAGAAGCCAUAAGAUGUACAGCAGCACUAAGAUUAUAUCACACAGAUAGAAAGCAUAUUUGACCUCUAAUAUACACAAUUACAUAAAGUAAAUGCUAUAUGUAUUCCGUCAUACUAUUCUAUGAACUACUAUGAUAAAUUGGUGCCGAAAAAGAAAAAAUGCAAAAGAAACAAACAGAAGAAAAGUGUACAUGCAAUAACAAAUCUGAAGCCAGCACAGAUUUCACCGAGAAACAUUAAAGUAAUUUUCUUUAACUCAAGUACAGAAGCAAAAUUGUUUGCCAACAGUACUUCAAAGUGUAACAUCAAAUCCAAGACAAUAUGCUUCCUAGUAAAGAAAAGAAUCGUGAAGAAAAGAAACUCCAAUAACUCGCAAGGAAAGAUUUGUGAACCAGAAAAAAAAAAAAACUAAGAAAAUACGAAACUAAAUGAAACGUAUAUUUAAUUAAGUAUGAAGAGAACAACAUUACGCACCUGAAAAACGAAGCAACGGCAUUUCCACAAUGCUGUGAGUGUAAUUGCAUACCACAUCUAUUAUAAACUUGUGAUCAGGAAAAAGUUCUGCAAGGGAAUUGAAAAAGGCAAAACAAAAAAUGAUUCCGAUCAGCAAGCUGCGAGAUAAAAUAUUCAAUAAAGAAUAAAAGGAAACGUAUCGGAAAACGCAGUUAGUUUAGAAGCAAAGGUGAAAAUUGAGUUUAGCUUUCAACAAAGAUAAGCAUAUGAUAUUAAAUAUUAUUUUUUCUUCUUUCUCAGGAACCAAAAAGAAAAAAACUGUGAAUUGAACCACCGCCAUGAGAGGAAAGAACAAACAUUGCGAGUUCAUCCUGGAGUGAUCGAUCGAAAAGUUUAUCGGACAAUUCGAGGAGAAGAUGAAGAAAGAAUUGAAAGAAGAGAAUUCGAUUUGUGUUCGAAACAGUAGGUUUCACAUAGAAUAGAGAGAGGAAAUGAAUAGAGACGGGAAAAACAAUAUAUGCGUGAGCUGUGAAGGAUAAAAAGGACGGGGAAAUUGGGAUGAGAAACCCGAAGCAGAGUGGGGCAGGGGGUUGAGAAAAUUCUGGGGACUGCUGCUGUUUCCUGGUGGCGCCCCAAUGGUGAUUAUUUUAUGGCGUUAUUAUAUGCUUUUCUGGGGACUUCUUGUUUUAU
rnacentral:lncRNA from 1 species